AACGAACGUUGGCGGCGUGGAUUAGGCAUGCAAGUCGUGCGGAAAGGCUCCUUCGGGAGUACUCGAGCGGCGCAAGGGAGAGUAACGCGUGGAUAUCUACCCCCUGGACUGGGAUAGCGGCGGGAAACUGCCGGUAAUACCAGAUAAUGUCUGCGGACCAAAGGUGUGAUUCCGCCGGGGGAUGAGUUCGCGUCCUAUUAGCUAGUUGGUAGGGUAAUGGCCUACCAAGGCAAAGAUGGGUACCGGGUGUGAGAGCAUGGACCGGCUGACUGGGCCUGAGGCACUGCCCAGACAUCUACGGGUGGCUGCAGUCGAGAAUCUUCGGCAAUGGGCGCAAGCCUGACCGAGCGACGCCGCGUGCGGGAUGAAGGCCUUCGGGUUGUAAACCGCUGUCAGAGGGGAGGAAAUGCGUGAGAGUUCUCUCUCACGUUUGACCUAUCCUCAGAGGAAGUACGGGCUAAGUUCGUGCCAGCAGCCGCGGUAAAAC
rnacentral:rRNA from 1 species